rnacentral:rRNA from 1 species
AUUGGACGCUGGCGGCAGGCCUAACACAUGCAAGUCGAGCGGAUGAAGGGAGCUUGCUCCUGGAUUCAGCGGCGGACGGGUGAGUAAUGCCUAGGAAUCUGCCUGGUAGUGGGGGAUAACGUCCGGAAACGGGCGCUAAUACCGCAUACGUCCUGAGGGGGAAAGUGGGGGAUCUUCGGACCUCACGCUAUCAGAUGAGCCUAGGUCGGAUUAGCUAGUUGGUGGGGUAAAGGCCUACCAAGGCGACGAUCCGUAACUGGUCUGAGAGGAUGAUCAGUCACACUGGAACUGAGACACGGUCCAGACUCCUACGGGAGGCAGCAGUGGGGAAUAUUGGACAAUGGGCGAAAGCCUGAUCCAGCCAUGCCGCGUGUGUGAAGAAGGUCUUCGGAUUGUAAAGCACUUUAAGUUGGGAGGAAGGGCAGUAAGUUAAUACCUUGCUGUUCUGACGUUACCAACAGAAUAAGCACCGGCUAACUUCGUG